AAUUAAUCAAUAUAUUUCAGCUAGUUUUGCUGGGUAGCUUCUCUGGAGUUCAUCUAUAUAGACCAGACUGUUCUCACACUUAGUAAUACUGCUACCUUCCAAGAGCUGAGAUUACAGUUGAGCACUGCUACAUACAUCUGUUUGGCAGAGUCAGAAACCCAGUGAAGAGACUGUGAGAGGUCAUCGCAUGAAGCUGUGAAGAUUACGCCAGUGUUGUAUUUUGAGAUGAAUUGUUAAGAUCAAUAACACAAGUGAGAGCCAAUGCUGGAAAGGAUCUGGAGCAAGUGCAAACCUCAAGACCCAGUAAUAACAUGCUUGGGCAUAUACCCAAAAGAUGCCUUUCCCUCCCACUACAAGGACAUUUGCUCAACUAUGUUCAUGGUGGCUUUGUUCAUAACAGACAUAAACUGCUGUGUCUUUGAGAGAUUUUUGUUGAUUGAUGAUUGAUGAUUGAUCUGGAAAGGCUCCUCCACUGAGGGUAGCUGUAUUCCUAAAAAAGUGGGCCUGGGAUGGAAAAGAGAGCGAUUUGAGCUUGAGGCAGUGAUUGGCAAGAGAGAAAUCCAGGGGGAAAAAUCUUUGCCCAUGGGUUUUUCUUUCAAAUGCUAGCUUGAGCUUCUAUCCUAAGUUCCUAAAAUGAUGAACUGUGAUCUGACAGAAUCAGCCAAACAAGCCCAUUCAUUGCCCAAGAUGCUUUUGGUUAGAGGACUUUUAAACAACAGCAUAAAAGAAUGUAAGAACAAAAAAAUGGAGCACCAAAAUUGGUUUUGUUGCUAGGUAGAAUAUGGGAAUGUUGUCCUUUGGAAGAAUGUGGAUGAUAUCAACACCUUAGAUGGCAAAAAAUUUAGAAAAUUUUACAGAGAACAUAAUUAGCUAUAAUUGUAGAACCAGGUAGAUAGGAUUGUUGAGAGUAAUGGCAGAAAGUGUCGGUUGAGAUCGUAGGAUUGCAGACAGAAGUAGAUAGACUCAAUAAAAAUAUACAUAUAUAUAUUAGAGAUCAUUUGGGUAAUAUUGUGGCUUCAUAAUUUUUCUUAUUCUGGCUAUGCCCUGUAAAUUUAGUAAGUCAGAAUUAAAAAACAAUGGGCUAAUUUCUUAAAUAGAAUAUUGAAUCUCUUUUAUGGCUAUUACUGAUGACUCAUUCAGCUCUGCAGUGAAAAAAUGGAUCAGAAAUUAAUGAAAAUGAAAAGGUAGUUUCAGAUGGCAGCCAAGUAUUGAAAUAGAUGGGAAUUUUUCAAGGAGUUUAUCAUCAUUAUACAGAAGUCCCUUGCUCUGUAAUGGAAACCUAGCAAGGUGUCAUAAGGAUAAGACACCAUCCACCUAAACCUUCAAUUUAUAGAGGAAGCAAAGUGAUUCCUAGUCCCUGGAAGCAACUUCAUAUAAAACCUGCUGCACCUGUGGUCCAAGCAUGUUGGUGUCCAUUCUAAUUAAGAAGUCAGAAUUUGCAGGCUUACCCUUCUUGAUCGUGGAAACAAGAAAACAUCAAAAUUUUAGGUCAUGGACUCUUAGUUUGUGGUUUCAGUUCAGCAUUGUGACAGGCAUCUAUGUUUGGCAGUGUCAGAAUACAGUGAGGAGACAGAGUUUAUUGUGUGAAACUGUGAGGAUGAAGCCUGUGUUUCAUUUUGAGACCACAAGAUGAUGAAAUACCUAUGCUAUGAGACAUCUCCCAUCACCAGCUGGCUGCAUACAGGGAGUUAAAGUAACCAAAGAGAGAGAUGAAUGAGACAUUGCAGGGAUAGGGCCCAUCUAAGUCCUUUGAAACUGAAGCCUUAUGUGUCUGAGACAGAGCUAUAAGAUUUGAUGGUUUUCCUCUGUGUUUGAGACUUGCCUUGGUCCGCUCUUCUCUCACUGUGUUCCCAUUCCUCUCUUUUGGAAAGUGAAUGGUAUUCUGUGCUAUUGUAUGUUGGAAAGAUGUAAUUUGUUUUCUGAUUUUACAAGAUGUCACUGUCAAGAUUUUCUUAAGUGUCAGAAAAGGCUUUGAACAUUUGAACAGCAUAGGGGUUAUCGCAGACCAAGAGUAUCAUUGAAGUGACUAAGUGCAUUUUUUUUUUUUAUGGAUGACCACAAGCCUAUAGUGACCUGGAUCAGAAUGUAGUUGAUUGUAUGAAAAACUUCCCAGAUAUGAUGAUGUAUUUGAACAUGUUUCUCUUUUUGGGAACUUUCUUUUGAUUAGGAGGAGCCUUUCUGGAUGAAAUUCCUCAUUGGGGAUAGGUUAUAAGCAUCUAUAGACUCAACCAAUUUCCUAUUCUUUGUUUUGGUUGAAAUUCAUGAGCCAACAUCCUUCUUGUGCAGUCAUGCCUUCACCACCAUUAUAGACUUUAGAUACAGUAGAAGCAGUUGCCAUUCAAUGCCAAGCCAGUUUGGUAGCCUGCUGUUUAAAUUGUUUGUUUGUUUUUGAUGACAAGGUUUGUCUGUGUAACCUUGGCUGAACUGAAAGUACCUCUGUAAGCCAGUUGGCCUUGAACUCAGAGACCACCUGACUCUGGCUCACAAGUGCUGGGAUUAAAGUUGAGCCAAAAUUCUUGGCUUUUCUGUUUUUAUAUUAUUGGGUGAUUGGCCUGAAAUGUAGGUUUUUGUACAUGCCAAACAAAUACUGUUAUACUGAGCUUCACCCCAUCCUGAAAUUUGAAAUUUGGCAGAUGGUAUCAUUUUGUUUUCCAGCAUGACAUAUAUUCAUGACAUUAAUACUGCCUGAGCCUUCUGUCAUUGGAUUGCAGGUACAGGACAUUCUUCCUGCCUGCUGUGUUUGUUUUGAAUAUUUUAAAUGAAUAUGAGUAUUACCUGUAUGCAUGGAUAUGCACCAUGUGGGUACCUGGUCCUCACAAUGAUCAAAAGAUGGCCUCAGAAACCCUAAACUUGGAAUCAUGGAUAGUUUUGAUCUCCUGUGUAAAUAUUGGCAGUUGACCCCACCUAUAUGCAAGACCAGCAAGAGCUCAUUACUAUUGAGCCAUCUCUUCUGCCCUGUGUUGAUUAUUUAUUAUCAACAUUUAUAUUGCUAAUGUUUUCAUCUGUCCAUUUGAAACUGUGUUUAAACACUCAGUGGCUUUUAGAAAGACCUUAUUGAUGUUACACAUUAAAAUGAGGUACUUCAGGUUUCUGGAAGAUGAAUACAGAAGUGGAGUGAAUGUCUAACUCUUUGUAGAAACUAAAGUAAAUAACCUCUGUGUUCUUUCUGUCUUUUUGCUUGUUUGACUGAUGUUUUGAACAGGAGACAGGGUCCCAAUAUGUACUUCUGGCUGUCCUGGAACUGAUUGCAUAGGCUAGGCUACCAUUCAACUCAAGCAAAUAUACCUGCCUCUGUGUUCUGAGUGCUAGCAUUAAAGGCGUGAUCCAAUACACCCAGCUUGUCCGUCUUAUUUUUUUUAUACUUAGUAAUUGUUCAUACAAUUUUUCUAAUGUGUAGUCUGUACUGUUGAUCUGUUUACUUUUCUAUGUUUGUUAAUAGGCAUUUCUGUUGCAAGGUUAUAUCCCAUACAAGGGGUACAGAAAUGAGAGAAGUGAACCUCCUUAUUCAGUUUCCUUCUAGAGUGACUUGAUGAUUACUUUACAAUGUCUGUGUUAUGGAGGAAGUAAGUGGAGCACCAGAAUUAUAUGACUAUAUCAUGAAGAAGUAUAGAUUUACAAUGUUGUCAGUACCAUGCUUUCUGUUGUACACAUUUAUGGGAUAUUUUAGAAUGCAGUGACCUAUGAUGAUGUGCAUGUUGCCUUCACUUGGGAAGAAUGGACUUUGCUGAAUCCUUCCCAGAAGAAUCUCUACAAAGAUGUGAUGCUGGAGACCUACAGGAACCUUAUUACUAUAGGUAAGACUGAAUUUUCCUUCAUAUAAAAUAAGGGGACAACUAUUCUUUGGCUAUUGAUGCUUCUCUGUAAUUUGAGUGAGAAAGAAGAAUGAGGUGAAUAAAUCAAGUAUGGUUCUAAGGUUCACUGAAGAUAGUAACUUAAAUUUUGCACAAUUUUUAAUAAUAUACCAUACAUUUUCUGAAACUAUAUUUUAGGAUACAGCAGAGAUGACCAUAAUAUCGAAGAAUACUGUAAAAUUUCUAGAAGACAUGAAAGGCAUAAAAGAACACAUACUGGAGAGGAACCCUAUGAAUUUAAUAAGUUUGGUAAGACUACACAUCAGUGAUCUUCAAAAAAAUUAAGAUUGUCAACAAUCUGGUCAAGCAUUUUCAUAUCUGUCUUUAUAUAAUUGUAUCUGAAAACUCAUUGAAAAAAAUAAAUUUAUGAAUGUAUUAAGCCCUAUGAGUCUCAACAAUAAUAUUACCCUUUUAGAUUUUUGUACUUGAAUUACAUGAAAUGACUAACUCAGGUGUAAAACUUUAUGGAUUUGUAUUAGUGCCUUGUCUGUUUUUGUGAUAUAAUGUCUAGGUCAACUUAUAAAAGAGUUUAGUUUGACCCUUGGUUCUAGGGGGAUAUAGGAUCACCAUGAAAGUGGCAUGGUAACAAGUGUUAGACAUGGCAGCUAAAGCAGGAAGCUAAGAACUCAGAUCAUCAGCUUGAAACAUGAUGUAGAGUGGGAACUGGAAAUGGUGUGCAGAUGUAAAUUCUCAAAGCCUUCCACCCAGGAACAUAUUUCCUAAAGCAGGGCAGCAGCAUUUCCUAAAUCAUUCCAAUGGACGCCAGCAACUGAAUAGGAUUGACUUCUCUCACUUCAAGCCUACAUUCUUGCUUUCUGUUACACAAACCAAUUUAUGAUAAAGAAAAACUGUGUAAGUGAGCUUGUAGAUGCCUCAGCACCUGUGUUAUAGAAAUGAAUGCUUGUAAGAGAAAAACUUUCAUGAGUAAAACUUGUUUAAAGAUUUGUUUUUCUUUCAA